rnacentral:lncRNA from 1 species
AUGCGGAGGUGCCAGAAGGGAUACACCAAACACGGGGCCUGGGCAUUACCAGCAGUGUGUGCAGUACGGUCAGGCAAUAGGUCACCCAUCCUGCUGUCUUGGCAGAGAGGUUUGGCAGCCUGCCCUGCAGCCCUUGCGAAGAGGAUGGCGAGCCACAGGCCGGAUCUCUCCUGCUGCAAUAUAAGCAUCAACAUGACUGGUGGCUGUCAGCCUUCAUCAUUGAUCCUAUUCACUCUGUUCCCAGUGCUGAAAUCUAAGUCCCAAAUGCAAGCAGAAAAUACUCAGCCAUUCAUGACAAAUUGAAUGGCUCAAUUUAAGGGGAAGAUAGCACCUCAUCUACUGUUACUAUUCACUACAAUAAUCUCCAUCACUUGUUCACUGGAGAAAGCAGUUUGUCCUGGGUUCAAGUACAGACUAUGCUGAUGAUCUGCGGCUUGAAAGGACUAGAAAGAGCCUUGCAUACGACAGGGAGUCACCUUUCUGCCUUUGAAGGUUUUUAUGUAUUCACAUCAAUACAAUGGUCAACACUACUAAGAGCCCAGGAAUGCCAUUCUCUUCACCCCCGCCCUGCAAGGAUACCAACCCGCUUGCAGCAACACGCCAAAAAAUAAGCCAAGAAGGCUAAAAUAAGGCCAGAUCCUCAGCUGGUAGAAACAUGCUGUCAGUGUAAACACUUCUACCGUCGGUCCGAGGAAGAUUCAGGAGAAAAAGCAAGCUUCAGCAUUUUAGCAAACGCUCCACCGAGGAUGGCCUCAUCAGAUGUGUGUACGUGUCUCAUGGCUGUCCGCUUGCUGGCUGACAAAGUCACACAUGGCAUAGGACCAACCGGUGGCACAAAGACAGAGUGCCAACCUUUCCUGGGCCCAUCAAAACUCCUAUUGCCAGAAAAUGAAGUUUGCAACUGAACGAGGAUGUUCACAGGAAAGAGACUGAACUCUUGAAUACUUCUUGGUUUUGGAACUUUUCAUAAAAUAGCUGAAAAUCUCAAAAAGUUUUCUCUGAAAACUGAAAAAAAAUCCAUUUGAUGGUAAAUUCUGCCCAUAAGGAUCUAAUUUUGGUAUAUCUGUGCUGAAAAUGUUCUCCUUCUGGCAAAAUUUAACUAAAAAUUUUCAGUCAAUGAAAACAUUUUUCCAUUUUUUUCUUGUUAACAGAAAUUAAAACAUUCAUUUUUUUUUCCACGUUUGUGCUGCUGGAUAACUAAACAGUUACUGAUACAGGAUUUGUUUUUGUUUUUCCCUGUUAACUUCAUUAGCCAUAGCACAAUGGAUAGUAAAUCCCCAUUUCCCUGCAGUUUGCCAGCAGUGGAACUACGUUGCUCAGAGUGGAGAUAAAAUUAUAUUGGUUACAACAGCAGUGCAGCACACUGAUUUCCUGAACCAUUCAGGUUUGAUGAGCUUUCACAUCCCUGACACCAGGAAGGUUUGUGGUGGUAUUAUUCCCAUUAGAGAAGGUUAUGUCUUGGUGGGGUAAAUUCCAGCCUUUCUCCAGAACCAGCUGUGUGCAGCUAUCCAGCUCCCAGAUGUUUUGUUUUACCCACAAAAGUUAGGAAGAAUAGAAACGCAUGCCUGAUUUUAUCUGUUUUUCAGGUGAUGGUAUCUCUCCAGGUUUUGAUAGAUCCUGGCUAGCCAGCAGACUUUUGGGGGGGCUGUUAUUUCCUUGCUUUUCCCAGAAGAAGAGAAGCCACAUCUGCCUGCCAAUUACCCUAUUGUAGCUCCCACUCAAAUUAUGGAUACUGCAAAGUGUGAAGAAGCAACCAAGUCACGGUGCAGAAAGAAAUGCUAACACGGGCCAGAGCUGACUGGAGGGCUGUCCCCACUACAGCCCAGCUCCCAGCAGCCAGGGCCUCACUGCAGAGCUUGAGGUGUCCGAGUCCAGAUGGCCCUGAGCUGACCUGUGGUGGUUGGAGAGCAUCUGCUAUGGCCCAUUGUACUCUGAGGUUCUGCAGCAAAAACUCAUUUCAAGAAGUUUUUCUUCUUGUUGUUAAUACUGUAUACAUUGCUCUCCAGGCUUCACAAAGGACCAGCUUGUGGUUCUUGCCUCUCUUUCAAAAAGGCUUUGAACUGCAGUGAAUCAUUUGAUGCGGUGUUUUAGCUCCAUGCUGCAUCUGAUCAGAGAAUCCUGGUGAAGACUGACAAUCAAACAGCCAGUAAAAGGAGGAAAAUGGUAGUUUAUAGUUCUGUUUAACCCAGAGAUUUCUUGUAGGUCUUGGCUUCAGCUGAGUUAAACACAGCAUGGAAAUAGUAUUUGUCAAGCUACCUCACCAUCUCCAGGCAAAACCACGUAGAAGUUUUAUAUUUAUAUAUAUAGGAAAUAUUACUUUGCUGAGAAAAACAAAAUAAAACAUAUAUUAAUUAAACUUUUUAAAGAUUG